rnacentral:rRNA from 1 species
UACGUAGGGUGCAAGCGUUGUCCGGAAUUAUUGGGCGUAAAGAGCUCGUAGGCGGUUUGUUGCGUCGGCUGUGAAAUCCCGAGGCUCAACCUCGGGUCUGCAGUCGAUACGAGCAAACUAGAGUGUUGCAGGGGAGACUGGAAUUCCUGGUGUAGAGGUGAAAUUCGUAGAUAUCGGGAGGAACACCGGUGGCGAAGGCGGCGACCUGGGUCGACACUGACGCUGAGGCGCGAAGGCGUGGGGAGCGAACGGG